AGCGCCUCCUCGUCCUCCGGCGCGCCUUCCACCUCGUCUUCUUCCUCCUCUCCCAAGAUCGAACUCCCGUCCGCCAGGUCGCCGCCGAGCGAGCCAGCGACGCCGGAGCUUGAAACCCUAGAAUCCUCUCUGCAGUCCCACCAGGGGCUCUUCCUUCUCGUCCUCCCGCCGAAACCGGCGACGCCACCGCAGGAACUCCGGCCCCCGCUCCGUCGGCGCGGCGCCGCCGCGACGAGGGAGGAGGAUGUGCCCCGCAGGAGGAGAUAUCUGGGAGAGGGCGGCAGCAGGCGGCGGCGGGAGGCGCCGCCGCCGCAGGCGCAGGGAAGAGGAUAAGAUGACGCCAUCGGCGGCGGAGGGCCGGAGAGAGGGGGAGGCUACGCGAGGAGCCUCGUGGCCUCGUGCUCGUCUCAGAAGGCGGCCG
rnacentral:lncRNA from 1 species